UACGGGGGGUCCAAGCGUUGUUCGGAAUCACUGGGCGUAAAGCGCAUGUAGGUGGCUUUUCAAGUCAACUGUGAAAGCCCAGGGCCUAACCCUGGAAGUGCAGUUGAUACUGUUGAGCUUGAGUACGAGAGAGGAUAGUGGAAUUUCUGGUGUAGUGGUGAAAUACGUAGAUAUCAGAAGGAACACCGGUGGCGAAGGCGGCAUCCUGGACCGGUAUUGACGCUGACGGCGCGAAAGCCAGGGGAGCAAACGGG
rnacentral:rRNA from 1 species